GACGAAGGGGGCUAGCGUUGUUCGGAAUUACUGGGGCGUAAAGCGAGUGUAGGUGGUUGUCAUAGUCAGGCGUGAAAGCCUUGAGCUCAACUCAAGAAAUGCGCUUGAUACUGGGCAGCUAGAGGACCGGAGAGGAUAGUGGAAUUCCCAGUGUAGUGGUGAAAUACGUAGAGAUUGGGAAGAACACCAGUGGCGAAGGCGGCUAUCUGGACGGUUUCUGACACUAAGACUCGAAAGCGUGGGGAGCAAACAGG
rnacentral:rRNA from 1 species